UACGGAGGAGGCAAGCGUUAUCCGGAAUUAUUGGGCGUAAAGCGUCCGCAGGUGGCGAUUCAAGUCUGCGGUCAAAGACUGGGGCUUAACCCCUGGAAAAGGCCGUGGAAACUGAAAAAGCUAGAGUGCAGUAGGGGUAGAGGGGAAUUCCCGGUGUAACGGUGAAAAUGCGUAGAGCUCGGGAAGAACAUCGGUGGCGAAAAGCGCUCUGCUGGACUGCAACUGACACUCAGGGACGAAAAGCUAGGGGGGAGCGAAAUGGGG
rnacentral:rRNA from 1 species